rnacentral:rRNA from 1 species
AACGAAGUAGCAAUACUCAGUGGCAGACGGGUGAGUAACAUGUAGGUAUCUACCCUUUGGCCUGGAAUAACACGAGGAAACUUGUGCUAAUACCGGAUAAGUCUUUACGGAGAAAGCUUUAUGCACCAUUGGAUGAGCCUGCACUUGAUUAGUUAGUUGGUGGGGUAAUGGCCUACCAAGACAUUGAUCAAUAGCUGAUUUGAGAGGAUGAUCAGCCACAUUGGGACUGAGACACGGCCCAAACUCCUACGGGAGGCAGCAGUGGGGAAUCUUGCACAAUGGAGGAAACUCUGAUGCAGCGAUGCCGCGUGAGUGAAGAAGGCCUUUGGGUUGUAAAGCUCUUUCGUCGGGGAAGAAAAUGACUGUACCCGAAUAAGAAGGUCCGGCUAACUUCGUGCCAGCAGCCGCGGUAAUACGAAGGGACCUAGCGUAGUUCGGAAUUACUGGGCUUAAAGAGUUCGUAGGUGGUUGAAAAAGUUGGUGGUGAAAUCCCAGAGCUUAACUCUGGAACUGCCAUCAAAACUUUUCAGCUAGAGUUUGAUAGAGGAAAGCAGAAUUUCUAGUGUAGAGGUGAAAUUCGUAGAUAUUAGAAAGAAUACCAAUUGCGAAGGCAGCUUUCUGGAUCAUUACUGACACUGAGGAACGAAAGCAUGGGUAGCGAAGAGGAUUA